rnacentral:rRNA from 1 species
GACGAACGCUGGUGGCGUGCCUAACACAUGCAAGUCGAACGAAGUUCUUACGGAUUGCGGCUUCGGCCAAUUGAAAUUUGAACUUAGUGGCGGACGGGUGAGUAACGCGUGAGCAACCUGCCUUUCAGAGGGGGAUAACGUCUGGAAACGAACGCUAAUACCGCAUAACGUUACGGGAUCGCAUGAUCCUGUAACCAAAGGAGCAAUCCGCUGAAAGAUGGGCUCGCGUCCGAUUAGAUAGUUGAGUGGGGUAACGGCCUACCAAGUCGACGAUCGGUAGCCGGACCGAGAGGUUGAUCGGCCACAUUGGGACUGAGACACGGCCCAG